AGAGUUUGAUCCUGGCUCAUCGUGAACGCUGGCGGCAGGCCUAAUACAUGCAAGUCGAACGGCUGUAGCAAUACAGCAGUGGCAGACGGGUGAGUAACACGUGGGAACCUACCUAGGGGUACGGAAUAACUCAGGGAAACUUGUGCUAAUACCGUAUACGACCUCAGGGUGAAAGAUUUAUCGCCCCUAGAUGGGCCCGCGCUGGAUUAGCUAGUUGGUGGGGUAAAAGCCUACCAAGGCGACGAUCCAUAGCUGGUCUGAGAGGAUGAUCAGCCACACUGGGACUGAGACACGGCCCAUACUCCUACGGGAGGCAGCAGUAGGGAAUCUUGGACAAUGGGCGAAAGCCUGAUCCAGCCAUGCCGCGUGAGUGAUGAAGGCCUUANGGUUGUAAAGCUCUUUCGCCAGGGAAGAUAAUGACGGUACCUGGAUAAGAAGCCCCGGCUAACUUCGUGCCAGCAGCCGCGGUAAUACGAAGGGGGCUANCGUUGUUCGGAAUUACUGGGCGUAAAGCGCACGUAGGCGGCAUUCCAAGUUGGAGGUGAAAUCCCCGGGCUUAACC
rnacentral:rRNA from 1 species